GUGGCCAACAGGUAUUUGCUGCAUGGGUCAAGUUUAGCAACUACUUUCCCGCACGUGACCAAGAUAGAUACUCCAAACAAAAUUUCUUUAAACUCAUAGAUGUUUUGUUUGUUUAAAGAAGGCUUAAGGUGGAUACAAACAAACAGUGUUGUUACAUAACAUGUACAAUCUGUGAACUGAAAGCACUGCUAAUAGUUUGGUACUAGCACGCUAAGCUAGUUUCGCAAAGCUAAGGUACGAAGCAGAGAGCGAGAGGCUGCUACUCCCUCUAAUCAUUUCGCAUGCCCAGGCACUGGAACAUGCAACGAACAAAUAUCAACAACUAAAAAGCGAUGCCCAUCCUUGGCUCCGUGCCCGAUGCCAGUAGACGUCGCUGGAACCACAGAAAGAUUCCUCACGACCCAGAGAGUACCCCAAACUGUGAUACAAACCAGCUGAUGCUUCCAAAGCCCCCUGCCCUCGUGGUCUAUGAACCAGAGACAAGUGCCAGAGGAAAUCCCAACCUGAUCAGCUUCCCCUCAGUCAUCUCAGCGGGAUGAAACCGUCAGGAGACAAGAAGAAGUGCCGCUCUCACAUCAGGCCCAUGACUUCAAGGCUGCUCAGUGUCUGGACAUCCUGAAGCAAAGAUCUCUCAGUCGCUGUCUGGCCUGCAGAAGAGCUGAUUGGAUCUCAUGAGGACCAGGUGUAAGCAGCAAAAUCCAAAGCAGCUUCAGAGCCCAACUCUACAGGCCCAGGAGCUCCGCAGUCAGGCUCAGGUAGUAGAUGUGUGGUAGAGACAGAAGCAAUGAUAGAAGCACUUAGGAAUUCAAGCAGCCGUGGAAAGCUCAGGUUCCCCACACUCUGUGCAUGAGCCACAUCGUAGAGUGAAUAUGGAGGAGAGGUCUCCUAACAGGUCAGAGACCGAUCUGAGAACAAGUUUAUAUCUCAGCAGAAACAGUACAACUGGUUGGAGUGUUCAGCGGAACAAUGAGCCCAAGAUAAGUUGAGGAAUUGCUGGCAGUUUGGGAGUGCCAAGUUCCGAGUUUGGGUGUGAGCCUCUUUCCGCUGGCUGUCUCCAUCUCACCACAAGGUGGAGAUUCUGUGUCAUGCAGCUGGUCCUAGACUACAAACAUGGAUCAAACUAGAGAAACGUGAAAGCUCUGCAAAGCUAAGCUUGAUGAGAAGAAUUAAGAGAAGAUCCAGUGAUUUGACUACAAGAGAAGAGGAUUGCUGAUUAACAGAGCAGAGAGCCUACAGAGGAAUCAAACUCUCGCAGCCUUUGUGUUCCAUGCAGCAGCCCUGAUGAUUUUAAAGUUCAGAGACGUUCUGCUGAAGAUGUCACCGUUGAUGAGACCUUGUCCUUGUAUAAACACCUCUCAGAUUUGGACAUUACUUCCCACCUUUUCAACUCGAGGAACCUUUUAUUAAGGCUAAACACUUGAUCACAUGGCUCUGUUGUCUUUUAGUGCCCUGCAGAGCAGCAUUGUUAGGUGUAAAGAUGUUUUGUUUUUAGUUUUAGUUUUCAGUUUCAUUUGUGUAUUUAACUUACAUGGCCAGAUGGAGAUUUAAGUGAUUUCAGGAUGUAUAAAACUAAAUAAAAUGAGUAUUGCUCUAUUGCUAAUUUAAAGAGCAAAGCGAUGAGAUGGAUUAAUAAACAACCACAUGCCUUGUCUAUGUUGGGCUUUAAAUUUAUACACCACUACUUGUAGGUUUUCUGUCAAAAUGCUCUGAAGCACAUGUGUUUUAAUCUCAGCUUUGAAUUUAUGAACUGGAAGAAACCUGAAUCCCGUAUUUUAUCAUUUACGUUUUGUACAUUGGUUUCUAUAAAAGAAAAGUUGAGCA